AUCAUCUCGGACUGUUCACCAAAUACUCUCAGGCUGUUCACCAAAUACUCUCAGACUGUUCACCAAAUCAUCUCAGACUGUUCACCAAAUCAUCUCGGACUGUUCACCAAAUCAUCUCAGACUGUUCACCAAAUACUCUCAGACUGUUCACCAAAUACUCUCAGGCUGUUCACCAAAUACUCUCAGACUGUUCACCAAAUCAUCUCAGACUGUUCACCAAAUCAUCUCGGACUGUUCACCAAAUCAUCUCAGACUGUUCACCAAAUACUCUCAGACUGUUCACCAAAUACUCUCAGGCUGUUCACCAAAUCAUCUCAGACUGUUCACCAAAUACUCUCAGACUGUUCACCAAAUCAUCUCGGACUGUUCACCAAAUCAUCUCAGACUGUUCACCAAAUACUCUCAGGCUGUUCACCAAAUCAUCUCAGACUGUUCACCAAAUCAUCUCGGACUGUUCACCAAAUCAUCUCGGACUGUUCACCAAAUCAUCUCAGACUGUUCACCAAAUCAUCUAAGACUGUUCACCAAAUCAUCUCAGACUGUUCACCAAAUCAUCUAAGACUGUUCACCAAAUCAUCUCAGACUGUUCACCAAAUCAUCUCGGACUGUUCACCAAAUACUCUCGGGCUGUUCACCAAAUCAUCUCGGACUGUUCACCAAAUCAUCUCAGACUGUUCACCAAAUACUCUCAGGCUGUUCACCAAAUACUCUCAGACUGUUCACCAAAUCAUCUCGGACUGUUCACCAAAUCAUCUCAGACUGUUCACCAAAUCAUCUCAGACUGUUCACCAAAUCAUCUCAGACUGUUCACCAAAUCAUCUAAGACUGUUCACCAAAUACUCUCAGGCUGUUCACCAAAUCAUCUCGGACUGUUCACCAAAUCAUCUCAGACUGUUCACCAAAUACUCUCAGACUGUUCACCAAAUACUCUCAGACUGUUCACCAAAUACUCUCAGGCUGUUCACCAAAUACUCUCAGACUGUUCACCAAAUCAUCUCAGACUGUUCACCAAAUACUCUCAGGCUGUUCACCAAAUACUCUCAGGCUGUUCACCAAAUCAUCUCAGACUGUUCACCAAAUACUCUCAGACUGUUCACCAAAUACUCUCAGACUGUUCACCAAAUACUCUCAGGCUGUUCACCAAAUCAUCUCAGACUGUUCACCAAAUACUCUCAGGCUGUUCACCAAAUCAUCUCAGACUGUUCACCAAAUACUCUCAGGCUGUUCACCAAAUCAUCUCAGACUGUUCACCAAAUACUCUCAGACUGUUCACCAAAUCCUCUCAGACUGUUCACCAAAUCAUCUCGGACUGUUCACCAAAUCAUCUCAGACAUGGUUUUGAGGUUGAGGUUAGGGUUAGGGUCAGGGGUCAGUGGGGUCAGGGGUCAGUGGGGUCGGGGACCUGGGGAAACCAAGGUCCUCACAAGGAUACAAGUCCAAGGAAGUGUGUGUCCAUGA
rnacentral:lncRNA from 1 species